AUGAAUUGUUUGUCGUGGAAUUGCCGGGGGAUUGGUGGAGCCAGUACUGUUCGUGAUCUGGUAGCCCUCGUGGGUACUCACUCCCCGAAAUUGGUCUUUCUAUGUGAAACUAGACAACCGAAAGAAAAGGUUUAUCGUCUUCGUAAUCGUCUUGGCUUGGCUGGCUUUGAAGGUGUCAGCAGUGAUGGGCGUAGUGGUGGUCUUGCGUUAUUCUGGCACGAGUCUGUAUCAGUGGAUGUUCAGGAAGCAAAUAGUAGAUGGAUUGAUGUUCAUGUGCGGUCGUCUUCCAGGGAUCAUUGGUGGCGCAUCACCUUUGUGUACAGCGAGCCGCGAGUAGAGAACAGACACUUAAUGUGGGACUCGUUGCGGAGGCUGUCUAGCCAAAACGCUCUCCCUUGGAUGAUAGUCGGUGAUUUUAAUGAAGCUAUGUGGGACUAAGAGCACAUGUCAGAAACACCAAGGGCAUCGGGACAGAUGUUGAUAUUCAGAGAUGCUUUGGAGACUUGUGGGCUGAUCGAUCUGGGUUUCACGGGAUACCCCUUUACAUAUGAUAACAGACGUGCUGGAAGGGCCAAUGUCCAGGUGAGAUUAGACCGAGUAGUGGCUACCAAUUCGUGGCGAGAUCUUUUCACUGAUGCGGUUGUGCGUCACCUGAUCUCGCCGGCGUCAGAUCACUGUCCGUUGUUGAUCUCUUGUACACCAGACACG
rnacentral:rRNA from 1 species